rnacentral:tRNA from 1 species
GCGCUGCUAGUAUAGUGGUCAGUAUACCAGGUUGCCAACUUGGUGACCCGGGUUCAAUUCCCGGGCGGCGCA